rnacentral:rRNA from 1 species
UACGAAGGGGGCUAGCGUUGCUCGGAAUGAUUGGGCGUAAAGGGCGCGUAGGCGGUGUCGCAAGUCCGUGGUGAAAUCUCCAGGCUCAACUUGGAGUCUGCCACGGAAACUGCGGUGCUUGAGUGUGGGAGAGGUGCGUGGAAUUCCCGGUGUAACGGUGAAAUGCGUAGAUAUCGGGAGGAACACCUGUGGCGAAAGCGGCUCACUGGACCAUAACUGACGCUGAGGCGCGAAAGCUAGGGGAGCAAACAGG